rnacentral:sRNA from 12 species
GAGAGUCAGUGCUUAUGCACCGAAGGGGCAUAUCGGAAUAGCAAUGACGACCUGCCGCUGAGCAUAGCGAGGGGGCAACACAACAA